GAUCAUGGCUCAGGAUGAACGCUAGCUACAGGCUUAACACAUGCAAGUCGAGGGGAAACGAUAUUGGAAGCUUGCUUCCGAUGGGCGUCGACCGGCGCACGGGUGAGUAACACGUAUCCAACCUGCCCACCACUUGGGGAUAACCUUGCGAAAGUAAGACUAAUACCCAAUGAUAUCUCUAGAAGACAUCUGAAAGAGAUUAAAGAUUUAUCGGUGAUGGAUGGGGAUGCGU
rnacentral:rRNA from 1 species